rnacentral:rRNA from 1 species
GAUAAACGCUGGCGGCGUGCAUAACACAUGCAAGUCGAACGAUGAAGAUUAAAAGAUUUCUUCGGAAUGAACUUAAUUGGAUUAGUGGCGGACGAGUGAGUAACGCGUGAGUAACCUGCCUUGUACAAGGGGAUAGCCGUUGGAAACGACGAAUAAUACCCUAUGACAUCAAAUAAUCGCAUGAUAAUUUGAUCAAAGAUUUAUCGGUAUAAGAUGGACUCGCGUCUGAUUAGCUAGUUGGUAGAGUAAAAGCCUACCAAGGCAACGAUCAGUAGCCGGCUUGAGAGAGUGUACGGCCACAUUGGGACUGAGACACGGCCCAGACUCCUACGGGAGGCAGCAGUGGGGAAUUUUGCACAAUGGGGGAAACCCUGAUGCAGCGACGCCGCGUGAUUUAGAAGGCCUUCGGGUUGUAAAAAUCUUUUGUAUGGGAAGAAAAUGACAGUACCAUACGAAUAAGGACCGGCUAAUUACGUG